rnacentral:rRNA from 1 species
UGGGGAAUAUUGGACAAUGGGCGCAAGCCUGAUCCAGCUAUGCCGCGUGGAUGAAGAAGGCCCUAGGGUUGUAAAGUCCUUUCGUUGGUGAAGAUAAUGACGGUAACCAAAGAAGAAGCCCCGGCUAAUUUCGUGCCAGCAGCCGCGGUAAUACGAAAGGGGCUAGCGUUGUUCGGAAUUACUGGGCGUAAAGGGCUCGUAGGCGGCCAACUAAGUCAGACGUGAAAUCCCUCGGCUUAACCGGGGAACUGCGUCUGAUACUGGAUGGCUUGAGGUUGGGAGAGGGAUGCGGAAUUCCAGGUGUAGCGGUGAAAUGCGUAGAUAUCUGGAGGAACACCGGUGGCGAAGGCGACAUCCUGGACCAAUUCUGACGCUGAGGAGCGAAAGCCAGGGGAGCAAACGGGAUUAGAUACCCUCGUAGUCCCUGAGCGGGCUGGCAAGGCGCAU